GCUUCUGUUGCUCAGUUGGUAGAGCAUUGCUCUAGUACUGUUAAGGUUGGGGGUUCAAUUCCCCCCAGAGGCU
rnacentral:tRNA from 1 species